rnacentral:tRNA from 1 species
UUUUAUAGGUUAAGGUAACGUGUUAGAUCGCUAGUUUGUGGUGCUAGAGGUUUCGGAAGUACGAGUAAAAGAA